UACUGCAUUAGUUUAUAGGCCCGACCAGGAUCUCGGUGAUGACUCAGGGCUAGUUGGUGAACUUAUUUAACUGGCGCGCUGACUAACGGCUAUCAUGCUUGUCAGUUUGGCUAGUGCUGAGACAGGAUGGGGAUCGAGACCCAGUUUUAAAAGGACACGGUUCCAAAACCCGAAAAUCAAUAAGGUGCUAUCGAGACUAGUGGGUCCUGUCUAAUCUGAUUUAUCUUGAGAGGCGAUGGAUAAGAAAGCUAAUGUUUCUAAUGAUGGCACCUUAUUAAACGGGCCCAGGACUGUUCAUCAUCAGGCUGCAGCCUCUGCUGCUCUCUGGGAAGUUAAGUUCGCUCCAAACUACUCCAGUUGUCACACCUAAGCUCAUUAAGCCUACUGUAAGUAUGUGCAACAAAACCUUCCCGAGUAAAAAGACAAUACUUUAUCAACACACCUGUCUGUAAGGGAAAUCAUCUCUGUCCUCAGUCUGUCAUCCUGUAGGCUAUGUUAUUUACUAGCACAGCUAAUGUUAACUUGGCAGUUACCCAAAUGUUAAAAACAAGCUAAAUAGAAAGCUGUCUGUCUGCACCAUUAAAAUGGCUGAGACAAACCAGCCACUCCUUCUACCAGGUAAUAUUACGUGCAGGCAGGGAAUAACAGCAGAGGGGAGGACGAAUGAUACAGACUGAGUUUUUAAUCUUUCUAAACAUCACUCAGUAUUAUGAUGUAAACAUUAACGUUGAUGCUCUAGAAACAGCAUUUAGCUGUAUUUAAAAUAUUAAAAGCAUAAAGGCGUGUCAGGAGCAGGACGUCUGGCUGCUCUGCUACCUCACCACCUCAAUCUACACUGACACACAGAUCCAGAUCUGAAUGUUUCCAUCUUGGUUCAGUUCCCAGAUGAGAUGCUGCGGAGCGUUUAGCUACUCAACAUGAUCAUAGCUGUCCUCGACUCCACACAGCUGCAGGAGCUGAUGUGUCAUGUGAUGAUGUUCAGGAAGGACUCUGUGCUCAACCUCCUCAGUGAGACACUCUCAGAGGACACCUGUCCUCACGUCUUCCACCUGUGUUCACCUGUCCUCACGGCGUCUUCUUCUUCAUGUGUCCACCUGUCCUCGCAUCUUCUUCAUGUGUCCACAGUUUAGUCUCUAGACUAGGAGAGCAGUCCUGCCCCCAUCCUGCAGCACAUUAAAUAUAAAGAACACCCGGAGGCCUUGUCCUGUCUGCUGCUGCUGCUCCAGAGAGAAGCCCAGUGAGGAGAUGGCGAAGAUGGUCCUGAGUCGUCUCUGUCACCCUGAGGGCCAGUUCACCACCAGCAUCCUGAAACACUGGGCGUCCAAUCACGAGAACACGCUGGGAGAACACAUCAAAUUUUAUUCAGCUCAAGAUUCAAGUUAUUACCACUUAACACCAAAAAAUCUCAUUAAGAAUCUGGAAAUAGACAAUGUUCAACAUUAUUGCAAAAAAGAAUGAAAACAAAUUGAUUAUCAAAAUUGUUGCUGGUUAAUUAUGUGAUCAAGCAGUCAAUUACUUUGUCGAUUCAGCUUAAUGCAAGAUGUGCCUAAUGUUGAUGUAGAAAUGAAGAUGAUGUUUAA